ensembl:snRNA U6 U6 spliceosomal RNA
GUGCUUUCAUCAGCAGUCCAUAUAGGUAAAUUAUAAUGAUAUACUGAAGAUUAACAUGGCCCCUUUACAAGAAUGGCACACUAAUUUGUGAAGCAUUACAUUAAAAA